rnacentral:tRNA from 1 species
GGGUCGGUAGCUCAGUCGGUAGAGCAGCGGACUCUUAAUCCGUAGGUCGAGUGUUCGAGCCACUCACAACCCACCA